AAACUGAAGAGUUUGAUCCUGGCUCAGAUUGAACGCUGGCGGCAUGCCUUACACAUGCAAGUCGAACGGCAGCGCGGGGCAACCUGGCGGCGAGUGGCGAACGGGUGAGUAAUAUAUCGGAACGUACCCUGGAGUGGGGGAUAACGUAGCGAAAGUUACGCUAAUACCGCAUACGAUCUAAGGAUGAAAGUGGGGGAUCGCAAGACCUCAUGCUCCUGGAGCGGCCGAUAUCUGAUUAGCUAGUUGGUAGGGUAAAAGCCUACCAAGGCAUCGAUCAGUAGCUGGUCUGAGAGGACGACC
rnacentral:rRNA from 1 species